GACAGAGGGUGCAAACGUUGUUCGGAAUUACUGGGCGUAAAGCGCGUGUAGGCGGCACGGCAUGUCGGAUGUGAAAUCCCAUGGCUCAACCAUGGAAGUGCACCCGAAACUGCCGAGCUAGAGUCUCGGAGAGGAAGGCGGAAUGCUUGGUGUAGAGGUGAAAUUCGUAGAUAUCAAGCGGAACACCGGUGGCGAAGGCGGCCUUCUGGACGAUGACUGACGCUGAGACGCGAAAGCGUGGGGAGCAAACAGG
rnacentral:rRNA from 1 species